rnacentral:lncRNA from 1 species
AGAAAAUAAAAUUGGAAGUUAAAUUAAGUAGGACUUGAUUGCAUAUAAAUUUUAUAAUAUUAGGAUAAAAUUAUAAUUUGAAAUAAUUAUAUUUUUGACCUAAUUAAUUAAGUAGGGACUUAAUUAAAAUUGUCUAAGAUUUAUAUGGCUUAUUUACUAAGGAACAACAUACUUUAAAAGUUCAUUAGAAAGAGUAGAAGAGAUAGGAAACCAAAGUGCAAGGCAAUAAUUUUCGAAACCACCCCUAACAAUGAACAUGUGGGGUUACUCAUGUAUUUGCAGGAGAACCUAGUGUUAAUAGGGUGACAAUAAGGAGAAUAUCAUAGAUGUACAGCUCCUGAGUCAAACUCUGAGUCUUGAAAACGGUCAAGUCAGAUGACUUAGUCUUUUACUUUAUCCUUAGAAAAAUGUUUGUGACUUAUGGAAAUGUUAUAAAACUGGGAUACAUUCUUCAAGCUUCUUUUCUGAUAGGAAAGUCAGAAACAUUGGAUGGAUGAAAGUAUGGAGCCAAGAACAAAGGCCAAAAUAUGGGCAUUGGACCAUGGAAACACAUUUAUAAAAUGGCCAUAAGGCCAUUCGAGCAUGGGACUUGCAUAGUAAAGCAUCUCAUGCCAAGUCGCAAGACGAGAAUCUGCUAGACCAUCC